rnacentral:rRNA from 1 species
GACGAACGCUGGCGGCGUGCCUCAGACAUGCAAGUCGAACGGGAUUGGAGCAAUCCAAUCCAGUGGCGGACGGGUGAGUAACACGUGGGCAACCUGCCCACAUGACCGGGAUAACAGCCCGAAAGGGCUGCUAAUACCGGAUGACGCCGGGGUGGUGCAUGCUACUCUGGCCAAAGGUGGCCUCUUAACAAUGCGGCCGCAUGUGGAUGGGCCCGCGGCCCAUUAGCUAGUUGGUGAGGUAACGGCCCACCAAGGCGACGAUGGGUAGCCGGCCUGAGAGGGUGUACGGCCACACUGGGACUGAGACAAGGCCCAGACUCCUACGGGAGGCAGCAGUCGGGAAUCUUGCACAAUGGGCGAAAGCCAGAUGCAGCGACGCCGCGUGAGCGAUGAAGGCCUUCGGGUUGUAAAGCUCUGUCUUCGGGGACGAACCCCUGGAUGGUGAAAGCCAUUCAGGCUGACGGUACUCGAGGAGGAAGCCCCGGCUA